rnacentral:rRNA from 1 species
GAUGAACGCUGGCGGCGUGCCUAAUACAUGCAAGUCGAGCGAACAGACGAGGAGCUUGCUCCUCUGACGUUAGCGGCGGACGGGUGAGUAACACGUGGAUAACCUACCUAUAAGACUGGGAUAACUUCUGGAAACCGGAGCUAAUACCGGAUAAUAUAUUGAACCGCAUGGUUCAAUAUUGAAAGACGGUUUUGCUGUCACUUAUAGAUGGAUCCGCGCCGCAUUAGCUAGUUGGUAAGGUAACGGCUUACCAAGGCAACGAUGCGUAGCCGACCUGAGAGGGGGAUCGGCCACACUGGAACUGGGACACGGUCCAGACUCCUACGGGAGGCAGCAGUAGGGAAUCUUCCGCAAUGGGCGAAAGCCUGACGGAGCAACGCCGCGUGAAUGAUGAAGGUCUUCGGAUCGUAAAACUCUGUUAUUAGGGAAGAACAAAUGUGUAAGUAACUAUGCACGUCUUGACGGUACCUAAUCAGAAAGCCACGGCUAACUACGUG